GCAUAUCAAUAAGCGGAGGAAAAGAAAAUAACAAUGAUUCCCUUAGUAACUGCGAGUGAAGGGGGAUAAGCUCAAAUUUAAAAUCUGUUAGGUUUUACCUGACCGAAUUGUAAUUUGAAGAAGCGUUUUCAGCGUGUUUGAUUAGCCUAAAUCCUUUGGGAUAAGGUAUCAUGGAGGGUGAGAAUCCCGUUCGGUUAAUCAUUGCGUUUUACGAUACGCUUUCAAAGAGUCAAGUUGUUUGGGAUUGCAGCUUAAAAUGGGAGGUAAAUUUCUCCUAAGGCUAAAUAUUGGCGAGAGACCGAUAGCGAACAAGUACCGUGAGGGAAAGAUGAAAAGCACUUUGAAAAGAGAGUUAAACAGCGCGUGAAAUUGUUGAAAGGGAAACGAUUGAAGUCAGUCGUACCGACGAGUAAUCAGCCUUUCGGGUGUGAUUUUGCUGGACACGGAGAGCUUUACCGCAUUCGUGCUUGUAAAUUUGUGCCUUUUGGGUGUACUUUCUCGUAUGGUUAGUUAACAUCAAUUUUGAUCGUUAUAAAAUGACUGGAGUAAUGUAGCUUCGAUCUUGUAUUGAAGUGUUAUAGACUUUGGUAGAUGUAACGAUUGGGAUUGAGGAUUGCAACGAAUACCCUUCGGGCUAUCCGUCUGGCCUCUGAAAGUCGUCUUGGUGCCGAAAGCUUGCUUACGGUUAUCGAGGCUGACGGUCAAAAGGUUAGAACGUGAUUAAAUUCGUUAAGGAUGUUGACGUAAUGGCUUUAAACGAC
rnacentral:rRNA from 1 species